rnacentral:rRNA from 1 species
UACGGAGGGUGCGAGCGUUGUCCGGAAUCACUGGGCGUAAAGGGCGCGUAGGCGGCACGUCAAGCGCGUGGUGAAAGCCCGGGGCUCAACCCCGGGUCGGCCGUGCGGACUGGCGUGCUCGAGCACUGUAGGGGCGGGUGGAAUUCCGGGUGUAGCGGUGGAAUGCGUAGAGAUCCGGAAGAACACCGGUGGCGAAGGCGGCCCGCUGGGCAGGAAGGCUUGGUAACAAGCCGGCUGACGCUGAGGCGCGACAGCGUGGGGAGCAAACAGG